GACAUAUUUUUCUUCUUUUUUUCUCUUCUUCCCUUUUUCCCAUUCGACUGAAAAUUUUAAGGAACUUGGUUGAUAUAUGCGUCCAUGAACCUGAUGAAGAUCAGAAUAAGUAAAGUUGGUGAUACUGUUAAUGUUGGAUGAUUCCGUAAGCGGAGUAAUGGGAGUUCUUCUUUCUAUUUUCAAUUUAGGAGUUAUUUUGUAGUAAUCACCUCUCUUUAAUCAACAGAUCAAGUGAUUCAAAUCAAUUGCUCUAUUAAUACAAGUGAGAAUGGUGAUGGAACGGGUGGAGUUAGCGACAAUCUUCAUAGAUCAAGGAAAUUGUCCAAUUAGACUUUGACUUAUUCGGGCCAAAAUCAGAGGAUUUACAUGGAGUGAAAAUAAACGUUAAAGAAAACGAUGGUUCUAUUGUUAUGCACUUAACUUGGGUCGGUAAAUAGCAUUUUUUAACUGUAUUGCUACUAUUGUUUGAGAGAUCAUACUCUUUGUUGGAUUAGAGUCAUGUACAUGUUCGUAUCAAAUGGAUUAAAGUUAUUUGAUUAUGUGUGUAUGUUAUUCUUCAGAUUUUUGUGCAUCAUGUGAAACUUGAAAUUGCA